rnacentral:rRNA from 1 species
AUUGAACGCUGGCGGCAUGCUUUACACAUGCAAGUCGAACGGUAACAGGCCGCAAGGUGCUGACGAGUGGCGAACGGGUGCGUAAUGCAUCGGAACGUGCCCAGUCGUGGGGGAUAACUACUCGAAAGAGUAGCUAAUACCGCAUACGAUCUAUGGAUGACAGCGGGGGACCGUAAGGCCUCGCGCGAUUGGAGCGGCCGAUGUCAGAUUAGGUAGUUGGUGGGGUAAAGGCUCACCAAGCCAACGAUCUGUAGCUGGUCUGAGAGGACGACCAGCCACACUAGGACUGAGACACGGCCCAGACUCCUACGGGAGGCAGCAGUGGGGAAUUUUGGACAAUGGGCGCAAGCCUGAUCCAGCAAUGCCGCGUGCAGGAAGAAGGCCUUCGGGUUGUAAACUGCUUUUGUACGGAACGAAACGGCUCUGGUUAAUACCCGGGGCUAAUGACGGUACCGUAAGAAUAAGCACCGGCUAACUACGUG